rnacentral:rRNA from 1 species
AGAGUUUGAUCCUGGCUCAGGAUGAACGCUGGCGGCGCGCCUAACACAUGCAAGUCGAACGGCACCCACCCUCGGGUGGAAGCGAGUGGCGAACGGCUGAGUAACACGUGGAGAACCCGCCCCCUCCUCCGGGAUAGCCUCGGGAAACCGUGGGUAAUACCGGAUGACCCCGCAGGGCCGCAUGGCCCCGCGGGCAAAGCCCAGACGGGAGGGGAUGGCUCCGCGGCCCAUCAGGUAGACGGCGGGGUGACGGCCCACCGUGCCGACGACGGGUAGCCGGGUUGAGAGACCGACCGGCCAGAUUGGGACUGAGACACGGCCCAGACUCCUACGGGAGGCAGCAGUGGGGAAUCUUGCGCAAUGGGGGGAACCCUGGCGCAGCGACGCCGCGUGCGGGACGAAGGCCCUCGGGUCGUAAACCGCUUUCAGCAGGGAUGAGACAAGACGGUACCUGCAGAAGAAGCCCCGGCUAACUACGUGCCAGCAGCCGCGGUAAUACGUAGGGGGCGAGCGUUAUCCGGAUUCAUUGGGCGUAAAGCGCGCGUAGGCGGCCCGGCAGGCAGGGGGUCAAAUGGCGGGGCUCAACCCCGUCCCGCCCCCUGAACCGCCGGGCUCGGGUCCGGUAGGGGAGGGUGGAACACCCGGUGUAGCGGUGGAAUGCGCAGAUAUCGGGUGGAACACCGGUGGCGAAGGCGGCCCUCUGGGCCGAGACCGACGCUGAGGCGCGAAAGCUGGGGGAGCGAACAGGAUUAGAUACCCCUGGUAGUCCCCAGCCGUAAACGAUGGACGCUAGGUGUGGGGGGACGAUCCUUCCGUGCCGCAGCCAACGCAUUAAGCGUCCCGCUUGGGGAGUACGGCCGCAAGGCUAAAAUUCAAAGGAAUUGACGGGGGCCCGCACAAGCAGCGGAGCAUGUGGCUUAAUUGGAAGCAACGCGAGGACCCUUACCAGCGUUUGACAU